GACCUGGGCAACCUGCCAUGCGAUUGGGAUAACUCCGGGAAACCGGGGCUAAUACCGAAUAAUAUAGAAGAUCUCAUGAUCUUCUUUUGAAAGACGGCAUCUCGCUGUCACUGCAGGAUGGGCCCGCGGCGCAUUAGCUAGUUGGUGAGGUAACGGCUCACCAAGGCGACGAUGCGUAGCCGACCUGAGAGGGUGAUCGGCCACACUGGGACUGAGACACGGCCCAGACUCCUACGGGAGGCAGCAGUAGGGAAUCUUCCGCAAUGGACGAAAGUCUGACGGAGCAACGCCGCGUGAGUGAAGAAGGUUUUCGGAUCGUAAAACUCUGUUGUCAGGGAAGAACAAGUACGGGAGUAACUGUCCGUACCUUGACGGUACCUGGCCAGAAAGCCACGCCUAACUACGUGCCAGCAGCCGCGGUAAUACGAAUGUGGCAAGCGUUGUCCGGAAUUAUUGGGCGUAAAGCGCGCGCAGGCGGUCUUUUAAGUCUGAUGUGAAAG
rnacentral:rRNA from 1 species